CCAUUUUGCAAAUAAGAAGCAGAAGCUGCAGCUGAAAGCGCUGGAAAACACAAACAAACAGUGCCUGAAAUUGAUCGAGACAUCGAGAGAGGGAGAGAGAGUGAGGAGGAAGAUGAUACACCGGAAAUGGAGUCUCCUGACUGGUCCCGGCGCUAUUCUCGGUGGCAUAGUGGCCGCUGUCGUCGUCGCCAACUACAUCUUUCUAGGCGAUCCAUUCCGUAAGCCAGAGCCAAAGAAGGAGUACUCACCAUCGUCUACCAAGUGAUCAUGGUGAUGUAACUCAAGUGAACGUGAGGACCAUGUUUGGGCUGGGUUUUGAGAGUUCUUGAACCUUACGAUGGAAACAGAAAGUUGUAUCUUGAAAUAUUAGUUUCGAGAACAUUGUUCAACCCUAUGUACCUAGCCAUUCUCUUUUGUUGUAUGCUGCUGUCACAUUUUCUGCUUGACUGCCAAAAAUAAGGUUCAGUGAACACUGUGGCUAAUGCAAAUGUUCCCAUUGAUGGCAGAAGGUAAUGAAUUGUCAUGCUGAUAUUUCUGAAUUA